rnacentral:rRNA from 1 species
AAAAACAUGGCCUUUUGAUAAUAAUUUAAGGUCUAACCUGCUCAAUGAAUUUUAAAUAGCCGCAGUACCCUGACUGUGCAAAGGUAGCAUAAUCAUUAGUUUCUUAAUUAGAAGCUGGAAUGAAAGGUUGAAUGAGAAAAUUUCUGUCUCUAUGAAAAUUUUAUAGAACUUUAUUUUUAAGUAAAAAAGCUUAGAUUUUAAUAAAAGACGAGAAGACCCUAUAGAGUUUUAUAUUUAGGAGUAAUAUAUUUAUUUUAGUAUUUUAAAAUUUAUUAUUUUAUAAUAUUUAGUUGGGGUGAUUGGAAAAUUAAUUAAACUUUUCUUUAUGGAUACAUUUAUUUAUGAAAAUAUGAUCUUUUUAUAGAGAUUAUAAGAUUAAAUUACCUUAGGGAUAACAGCGUAAUUUUUUUUGAGAGUUCUUAUCGAAAAAAAAGAUUGCGACCUCGAUGUUGGAUUAAAAUGAAUUUUUGGUGUAGAAGCUAAAUUAAUUAGGUCUGUUCGACCUUUAAAAUUUUACUUGAUCUGAGUU